AUGAACGCUGGCGGCGUGCCUAAUACAUGCCAGUCGAGCGAACGGACGAGAAGCUUGCUUCUCUGAUGUUAGCGGCGGACGGGUGAGUAACACGUGGAUAACCUACCUAUAAGACUGGGAUAACUUCGGGAAACCGGAGCUAAUACCGGAUGAUAUUUUGAACCGCAUGUUUCAAAAGUGAAAGACGGUCUUGCUGUCACUUAUAGAUGGAUCCGCGCUGCAUUAGCUAGUUGGUAAGGUAACGGCUUACCAAGGCAACGAUGCAUAGCCGACCUGAGAGGGUGAUCGGCAACACUGCAACUGAGACACGGCCCAGACUCCUCCGGGAGGCAGCAGUAGGGAAUCUUCCGCAAUGGGCGAAAGCCUGACGGAGCAACGCCGCGUGAGUGAUGAAGGUCUUCGGAUCGUAAAACUCUGUUAUUAGGGAAGAACAUAUGUGUAAGUAACUGUGCACAUCUUGACGGUACCUAAUCAGAAAGCCACGGCUAACUACGUG
rnacentral:rRNA from 1 species